GGAGUUAGCCGGUGCUUCUUCUGCGAGUAACGUCACAGAUGUAAGGUAUUAACUUACACCCUUUCCUCCUCGCUGAAAGUGCUUUACAACCCGAAGGCCUUCUUCACACACGCGGCAUGGCUGCAUCAGGGUUUCCCCCAUUGUGCAAUAUUCCCCACUGCUGCCUCCCGUAGGAGUCUGGGCCGUGUCUCAGUCCCAGUGUGGCUGAUCAUCCUCUCAGACCAGCUAGGGAUCGUCGCCUAGGUGAGCCUUUACCUCACCUACUAGCUAAUCCCACCUGGGCUUAUCCAUCAGCGCAAGGCCCGAAGGUCCCCUGCUUUCCCCCGUAGGGCGUAUGCGGUAUUAGCAGUCGUUUCCAACUGUUAUCCCCACAAAUGGGCAAAUUCCCAGGCAUUACUCACCCGUCCGCCGCUCGUCAUCUUCAAAAGCAAGCUUUUGAAAUGUUACCGCUCGACUUGCAUGUGUUAGGCCUGCCGCCAGCGUUCAAUCUGAGCCAGAUCAAACUCUGA
rnacentral:rRNA from 1 species